UGCGUAGGCGGUUUACUAAGUCAGACGUGAAAGCCCGAGGCUCAACUUCGGGACUGCAUUUGAAACUGGUAAACUAGAAUACAGGAGAGGUAAGUGGAAUUCCUAGUGUAGCGGUGAAAUGCGUAGAUAUUAGGAGGAACACCAGUGGCGAAGGCGACUUACUGGACUGUGAUUGACGCUGAGGCACGAAAGCGUGGGGAGCAAACAGGAUUAGAUACCCUGGUAGUCC
rnacentral:rRNA from 1 species